GAUGAACGCUGGCGGCGUGCCUAAUACAUGCAAGUCGAGCGAACAGACGAGGAGCUUGCUCCUCUGACGUUAGCGGCGGACGGGUGAGUAACACGUGGAUAACCUACCUAUAAGUCUGGGAUAACUUCGGGAAACCGGAGCUAAUACCGGAUCAUAUAUUGAACCGCAUGGUUCGAUAGUGAAAGACGGUUUUGCUGUCACUUAUAGAUGGAUCCGCGCCGCCUUAGCUAGUUGGUAAGGUAACGGCUUACCAAGGCAACGAUGCGUAGCCGACCUGAGAGGGUGAUCAGCCACACUGGAACUGAGACACGGUCCAGACUCCUACGGGAGGCAGCAGUAGGGAAUCUUCCGCAAUGGGCGAAAGCCUGACGGAGCAACGCCGCGUGAGUGAUGAAGGUCUUCGGAUCGUAAAGCUCUGUUAUUAGGGAAGAAAAAAUGUGUAAGUAACUAUGCCCGUCUUGACGGUACCUAAUCAGAAAGCCACGGCUAACUACGUG
rnacentral:rRNA from 1 species